GUGCAGCAGGCGAGAAUACUUUACAAUGUGCGAAAGCACGAUAAGGGAACUCUGAGUGCCUCCUAAGGAGGCUGUUCUGAUGUCUAAAAGCAACAGAAGUAAGGGCUGGGUAAGACCGGUGCCAGCCGCCGCGGUAACACCGGCAGCCCAAGUGGUAGCCACGUUUAUUGGGUCUAAAGCGUUCGUAGCCGGCCAGGUAAGUUCCUUGGUAAAUUUAGCCGCUUAACGGUUAAGCUUUCAGGGAAUACUGCUUGGCUUGGGACUGGGAGAGGUCAGAGGUACUCCGGGGGUAGGGGUGAAAUCUAUUAAUCCCUGGGGGACCACCGGUAGCGAAGGCGUCUGACCAGACCAGGUCCGACGGUGAGGGACGAAGGCUAGGGGCGCGAACCGGAUUAGAUACCCGCGUAGU
rnacentral:rRNA from 1 species